AAAACCGAAAGUAGAUUUCUACGAGACUACGAGUACAAGUUCAUUUUACGAAAGUCAUAGGCUAGAGGUCCAUUCCCAUUGCAGAAAGAGUUUGUGCUUGACGACGAAGUGGACAGCCGGGGAGAGUGAUUUUUUGUGGUUGUAACUUUAACCCAGAAGCUUAUAACGCUGGUCAGACAAUUGAAGUGAGGAUGCCAUUUCCAAAACAAGAAGAGAGGAAAAAAUGUUGGGCAUCGAAGGACAGCUAUUGGCUCUGUAUGGACAAGAACAAUGAUGACACUUCAAAAUGCACUAAAGAAAGGGCUGAAUAUGAGAAAAGCUGUAUAAAGCAGUGGGUGACAUACUUUGACAGACGCAGAGAUUACCUGAGGUACAAAGAACAAAUGGAGAAAGGAGGCCCAGUCCCACCUCCCAACAAGCAGGCGUGAUGAACAGUCAAUAAAAUCAAUUGUGAUAUAAACAGAAUAUGAUGAUGUACAGGUUGUGUUUUGAAAGUGUUACAUAGGUGGGUGAAAGUGGAGUGCAACAAUAAAGAUUAAAGUGUCUUAACAUGUUUUUCCCAUGAAGAAUAAGUGGAGACUUUUCUUACCAGAUUGAUGACUAGAUUUUAAAGGCAAUUCACAACCCAAAUAAAGGAAAGGAAAGCAGGCAGUCGAAUGGCUGUUCAUAUGAUUUGACUUUGUCCACAUUAGCAUUCUCAAAAGGUUAGCUUACACAAACAUUGCAACAACCUAAAUUUUAAACAGUAAAUCUGUAUUUUUUGUGACGAUUUUCAAGUUGAGAAGAUAAUUAGACACAACACUUGCACAGGAAAGUUGAUCAAAUUUGAGGCUCCUCAUAAACUCCUCUUCACUUGUAACAGAUGACAUUGAUAGCAGAGUCAAGUCCUUUCCCCCGAAAAUACAGAACUGGGAGCAUCGUGCUGAAAGAGAAAUACAGUGCAAACGGCAUCUGACGGUGUCGUUCACUUUGACCUUCAAGUUCGUUGAAUCCAAGUGUACAUUCAGAGAAAGGUGUGACUAACAGGAACAUUGAUCAAAAAAAGACAAAAGACAUGUGGGAAUGUGUCACCAUGCGAAUACGAAGGUAAAGAAUAGCACCCCAGAGUCCUUGCUUAGAUGAGCUGUUGCUUUCCUUGGUGCAGCCUCUAAACAAUAGGCAGGGGCUUGCACAAGAUUCUUACUUUGUUUUUUCAUGUUCACCACACCAGAACUUCUAUUAAUCUAAAGUGCUUUUUCAGCAUUUUCAAGGACGUAUGCUUGUUUUCUCUUCAGUUUUACAUGUUUCUGGGUCCACAGCUUCCAUUAUCAUAUCCUUGUCUUUCAUAUAAGGUCACAGACAGCUUGAAGCAGUACCAUGUUCAUCACAAGGUCUGUUCUAUUUUUUCCGGUUGUCAACUUCCUAGAGCAAUUUGAUAUAAAACUAGAGUCAUUUUCUUCUCUUUGUUGGCAUAAGAUAAUGAAAGAACCGUUAUCCAAGACUAGGACUAGACAAAGGGCUACAGUAUGUACAGGGGAUUGCCAAAGCUCAAAUUGUGUGUGGUGUCUGUAACCUGGUGGUUAGGCUACUGGACUUGUAAUUGUGAGAUUGCGUUACGGGGGUUCGAACCUCAGCUCGGUGUGACGUUGUGUCCUUGGGAAAAGCACUUUACACAAAUAUUCCAUGUGGCUCGGUUCUUUCGAAGAUGGGCAUUAAACUCAGAUGUCCCAUCCCUCAGAGAACCUAAAUAAGUGUUGGUAGGGGGCGUUAAACCUAUACCAUUUCACCAUUUUCACAAAUUGUGUGUCAUUGUCACAUGAGAUUUUUUGCCUAAGUUUAUGUAAUACAAUAUAUGCAUUGUAGUACUGCUUGAGCAAGGUGUGUCUAGACCUAUCAGAUGUUUGGUUCUACUGAUCUGCAUGCAACUUGUUAUGUAGAUUUGUGUCCAUGACGGUUCCCUUGCCAGGCAAACAAAUUUAUAACUACUCAUCUGAGGAUGAUCUACGCUUGACACGCUUAAGCUCAACACACCCUCGCAUAAACCCCUCAACUCAUGUGUUGUGUGAAAAGAGGCUUCUGAUUGGUCUCAGACCUUUGGAAUAGAAUAGACAAGUGACAAGGUUCAAUGCGGAAGAAAGAUAUGCGAAGCCACAUCAAGGUUGGGCUUUUUAUUCUGCUAGCAGCUUUGAUGAGUUCGAAGUUGCUUUUUUAGUGCUCAGUGAUCUCACUGUAUUUUACUGAUUUUAAUGAAUGAGAAGAAAACCCAGCAGAUUCUUUGUGAAUGAUGCAAGCCCAUUUAGUUAUCUUUCAAAGGUAUCAUACAAAAUUGAAAUCGAACAAGUGCAAACUUAAAAACAUUGAUUUUAUAACUCUUAGUAUUAUUAGAUGUUUUGGAACUUGAUAAUUUUUAAAAACUCUCUAGAUUCUAAAUCUAAAGAAUAAAAACAUGUGAUAAUGUCAUACUUUUUCUGUCAUUUAAAUACUGAUACUAGUGUACUCUAUGUUAUGUUCAGAAACCGAAACAACACUUCAAAUUGUAAGGACCUAUUAUCAUGAAUAAUUGCAAUAGUACACAGGUAUUUUUGUGAUUAAAACACUUGAAAGGACCGAUACACAGGGAAUGCAUAUAUUAGUGCUAAAAUAGUUGUCAUUGAUUGAGUUGGAUGUAAUGUGUAAAUUUAUUUGAUAAUUUCUUCAUUGAAAAAGCAUUCUUUUGUGCAAAUGUUUUAAAGUUUGUGUUGUUUGCAAUGUAUGAAGAACAGCAUACCGGGUACUGGGCUUACUCCCUUUGGGAGACUGGCUCGAAAGUUUUUUUAUAUGAUAAAUAUAGUCGAGUCCUCUUAAACUGAACACUUUCAUUCUAAAAACAGUGGAAAAAGUAAAAAGAAAAUUCCAAAUUUUUAAGAACUUUUGGUUGAGCAACCUUUCUCAUACAAAAAUCUGGCUAAAGUGAAGAAAAUCUGGAGGUCCUGCAGAUUUCGGUUUAAGUGGACUCCACUGUACAUGCUGUGAAUGAAAUGAUGAAUGUUUUAUGAUCUCAAAGUACUAGUUGAAAUAAUUGAACUGUUUACCAGCACCACUGAUAAAGAUGUUUUUGAAUCCAAGUGAAAUAAAGUUAGGGAAUCUUUUUACAGCAGACUUAUAUGUAGCUGAGCUAGAAAUGGUGUGUCCAGAUUUACAUGAACUUGAGAUUUUUACUUUGACAUGUUUUCAACCUGCACAGAAUUAGGAUUGUGAAGUCAUGAUGAUUCUGUAUUAACCAAUUUUCUGGAACAUUCUGAACAUGGUGUGUAUGUUACAUGUACAUAGAUUUGGUUAUAAAAAUCUGACUACAUACUAGAUGUAAUAUGUUUGCCAGUAUGGUAACAUUUUAUUUUUGUCAAUAAAUUGUUUAUGCACGGCAACGUACUGGCUUUUGAUUUAACACUGUGUAAUAAUAUUAUCGAAACUAUAAUAUUGACUCACACUUAACUUUUUGUCUUUCUCGUUCAUUUUAUGUUCUUCCUUCCCACUUUAUGCAGGCGCACAAACACAAACACACUGGUGUUUGUUGUGUAGUAGGUAUAGGACGCUUGGCUGUCACAUACAGGAGAUCUGAGUUUGAUGCCCAGGUGGGGAUAAAUUUUCAUUUAAUAUUUAAAUUUUUCUGCUGGGCAUUGUCGGAAGCCCACCUCCUGAAUUAUGUAACUUGUGCUGAUUGAGAUGUAAAAGCACUUUAAUUUUUUUUAAAUUAAAAAUUACGCUCGAAAACAUGCAAUGCUUUUCAAUUACACAGAAGAAAAGCAUAUGAUCUUUUAUUAAAGACAUGUGUUUAAAUAAAAAAUCUACUACUUUUGUUCUGAGUGGCAUUGCGACUUAACUUGCACAAAAAAGUCAUGAGAUAUGUUGUGGAUCUUUUAAACGUUUUUUUAAUGAAAUCUCAUUAAUCAGGUACUGUGGUAGGGUAAACUCAGAAUAUCGGUCGCAAAAUUCCAUGGCGUGUCAUCAUGUAUAGAUCAUUAAAAAGGUUUCUCCUCA